GAUGAACGCUGGCGGCGUGCUUAACACAUGCAAGUCGAACGGAAGGGCCCUGAUUUUGCGGGGUGCUCGAGUGGCGAACGGGUGAGUAACACGUGAGUAACCUGCCCUUGACUUUGGGAUAACUUCAGGAAACUGGGGCUAAUACCGGAUAGGAGCUCCUGCUGCAUGGUGGGCGUUGGAAAGUUUCGGCGGUUGGGGAUGGACUCGCGGCUUAUCAGCUUGUUGGUGGGGUAGUGGCUUACCAAGGCUUUGACGGCUAGCCGGCCUGAGAGGGUGACCGGCCACAAUGGGACUGAGAUACGGCGCAGACUGCUACGGGACGCAGCAGUCGGGAAUAUUGCACAAUGGGCGGGAGCCUGAGACAGCAGCGCCGCGUGCGUGAUGACGGCCUUCGAGUUGUGAACCGCUUUCUCCGGUGACGAAGCGUGAGUGACGGUAAUUGGUAAAGAAGCACCGGCUAACUACGUG
rnacentral:rRNA from 1 species